GGGUGCAAGCGUUAAUCGGAAUUACUGGGCGUAAAGCGCGCGUAGGUGGUUCGUUAAGUUUGAUGUGAAAGCCCCGGGCUCAACCUGGGAACUGCAUUCAAAACUGACGAGCUAGAGUAUGGUAGAGGGUGGUGGAAUUUCCUGUGUAGCGGUGAAAUGCGUAGAUAUAGGAAGGAACACCAGUGGCGAAGGCGACCACCUGGACUGAUACUGACACUGAGGUGCGAAAGCGUGGGGAGCAAACAGG
rnacentral:rRNA from 1 species